ensembl:lncRNA
GAUUUGUCUUUUCUGAUAAACAUUCCAAACAAAGAAAAAUUUAUUUUUGUGGUUGUGCAUGCGCAUGUUCCCAGUUUCCAUUGACCUUCUGGCUAAGCAAGGCAAGAAGGAGAAAUGCGUCUUGAGUAUAGAUUAAAGAUCUUUUAAGAACCCAGUCUUUGUAGUGCACCCUUCUUUUUAUGGGCAGGGUAAUCUUCUGGUUUCUACAACUCUACUCCCUUGGAUUUCGUGCUGCUUGGGGCCUGUUUGUCCUUGGAUCCUUUUCUGCCUGUCCCAAGCUUCCUUUUCCACUCCUCUGUCUCAGUUUCAUAGCUGACUUCAAGAGAGCCUUGGGCUAACAGUGGAGGUGCGAUUUCCCCAACCAGACUGCAUCUCCUUCACCUUCUCCAGCAGCAGCCACUCCCCUCCUGCUCCUGCUCACCUGGGUUCCAGUUCCCACCUUGUCACAGGUGUGUGUGCCCCCGAGCCUUCGGCUUGCUCCUGGCACUAAUUUCUGAGUUGUCCCCCUUUUCUCUGGUUUGCUUGCUCUGGAUCUCUGAUCAACCGUCUCCCACUUUGUGGAAUUCCCUGAGUCACAGUUCUCCCCUUCAAAUACUCCAAUCUUAUUUUCCUAGCUGCAUCCUGAUUGGUGCCAGUCCGGCACAGCAUCCUGCUCACACUGAAGUCUUGGGUAGCACAGCCCGGAGGCGAUGCCCAGUGCUCCUGCUGACCCGAGGACCUCUGGGGCCAGACCCCAAGGCUUCGACCCCCUUCCCAGCUCUCCUUCUCCGGUUCAGAUUCUACUUGAGCCCACUCUGCCCAGGAGAGACCAAGUAGUUUUCUCUGCCUGCUGACACUGACACCAGAAGACAUUCAAACAGCUCACUGGAUUGCUAGCCCAGCCCAUUGGUGGCAAACCUAUGGGACAUGUGCCCAGCCUCUGCCAUCAAUUAAGUAGAUGCCAUAGCUCUGACUUGUUUCCUGUAAAGGGGUGCCGGCUUUGUUUACUUCAUUUAGCAGGCUCUCUCUGCGCACUCGGUCCACUGCCUCCCACAUCGGUCCGUGGCAUUUGUUUAUUCUACCCAAUCACACGCAGAGCUCUGUGGUCAGGGGCACUUUUCCUUUUAUAUCUGCUCACAGCAGGUUCACAGUACAGGCUUGUGAGCUAAAUACAGUCUACAUUUCACCAGCAUCUGUGCUGAUUUCCGGUUCCUUGUCAGAGGGACAUGCUGUGUGCCCUCCUGCAGCUGCAUGGUGUGCACUGGAUCAUCCACUCAGGAUGUGCUCUGAGCAGGUCCUGUAUUCUAGACCGGAGAUACUGGGGGCCACUAGGGGCAGCACAAAGACUCCAAGGCCCAUUGCCACUUACUUUAAAAGCAAGGGUUCCCCCUAAGCUGCCUCUCCCUGGGGACUGCCACUGUCCUUCUAGUGGUUUCCUGGACUGACAAUGCUCUGUGUCACAGAACCUGCUCAUCUUCUUCAUAGCAUUGCAUAUGAACUAUGUAUGGAAUAAGCAUAAAGGACAGGGAGAAAUUUAAAUUUAUACAAAUGUGUAGUGAAUACAAAGGGCACGUGUAUAAGUAUCAUACAGAACAGGCACCCUCUUGUAUGAGUGUGUGUGGGGGGGUGUUGUUAUGCUUUCAUUUUGUCUUUCCCUCUACAGAUUUUCUUUACUUCAGCUUCUUUCACUACUGAACACCAAGCCUAACACAGAGGCUGGCUGGCACACAGCUGCACAGGCAGAUUUUCACACAUUGAAGAUUCGCUUGUUCUGCACACCCUGCAAAACCUCACCUCACAUCCGCAGCAGUAGAAAAUCCUAAUUGAUUUUCAUUAUUAAAAAAUUCUCCAAUGGCAACUGAAUUAUCAAGGUCAUCAAUGAAAGUACACAUUGAACAUAACAUAGAUUUAUUGGUACUUUCCUCCAGAGAAUUCUGUUCAUCUUGGAAGACAUUGCAAUCUCCAGUGGUUGGAGCUAGGUCUUCAUCAAAAAAGUAUGAUUCUCCUGUGCUUUUGCUCUACCUGCAAAGCGUGUUCGAUUGGCUCAAACUAUAGUCAACUUUGAUCACCUGUGGUCCUCAUUUCCCUGUCAUACAUUUGUAAAAUGUUUA